CAAGAAAGACUAUUUAGUGAAGUAGGCUAAUGGUGUUGCAGAGGAAGGGGGCUGAUUUUCACAUCUCAGAACUGUUAAGCCUGCAAAUAUCACUGAAAUCACAUCUGGGAACAAAGCUCUGCUUUAACCAGCACAGAGAGAGGUGCUGCAUCCUGGAGCACAGGCACAAGCAUCUGAGCACCAGAACUGCCAACAUCUGUCUCUGGAUUUCACAGGCUGGGACCAAGCCACAGACUUCAUUGAGUUAACACACCCAGCAGAGAACUGCAGUGAAAUAAAGGAAGAAUGGACAACUGCAGUGAAACAAAGGACCACAGACGACUCUCUCAUACAAGGAAUAUUAUCAAUAUUUGCACUGAGGUAAAACCAGAUAACAGGAGGAGGAAUGCCAGCCAAACAUUCAAGUCAUAAAGAUGGAGAAAAUUACAUCUUGAAUUCAUCAGUCUGUUAUUACAUCAGUCUUUGGCCACUAACAACCAAUUUAUCUGGAAAUGGCAGAUUUUCACUUUUGGUGUAUGCAUGCCUGGACAGAGAGGCAGAAUGUGACAUAGUUUUGUUUUAGAGAGUGUUUUGUUGAGGAUUUUUUUUUUUAAAGCACAAGUACUCUCUACUAUAAUCCUAGGGAAUGAAGCCUGUUGUGAAGAAAAAACUGCUCUGCACUUCUUAAAAUACAGCCCACCAGAUACUUAUCCUAGAAAUAACAUUUGACAGAACAAAGGUAAAAAGAAUAAUAAACUCUUUAUCUUGUGCAGAGAUUAAAUUGCUAUUGUUGCAUUUCAGUCUGUAAAUUGUGUCAGUUCUACUCCCUGCUCCAGUCUGUUCUUGUAGACUGGAGCAUAGCCCACAAGUCCA